rnacentral:tRNA from 1 species
GCCGGUGUGGCUCAGUGGAUAGAGCAUCGGCCUGUGGCCUGAAGGGUCCCUGGUUCGAUUCCAGUCAAGGGCA